rnacentral:misc_RNA from 1 species
GAUGAAGAACGCAGCGAAAUGCGAUAAUUAAUGUGAAUUGCAGAAUUCAGUGAAUCAUCGAGUCUUUGAACGCACAUUGCGCCCCCUGGUAUUCCGGGGGGCAUGCCUGUCCGAGCGUCAUUGCUGCCCUCAAGCCCGGCUUGUGUGUUGGGCCUUGCUCCCCCGGGGGCAGGCCCGAAAGGCAGUGGCGGCACCGCGUCCGAUCCUCGAGCGUAUGGGGCUUUGUCACCCGCUCUGUAGGCCCGGCCGGCGCUUGCCGACCCCAAUCAAUCUUUUUUCAGGUUGACCUCGGAUCAGGUAGGGAUACCCGCUGAACUUAAGCAUAUCAAUAAGCGGAGGA